UUUGCUACCGUGAUCGAAGAGACAACUAAAAAAGUCACUAUUACAUAGUUUCCCAAAGAUAGCCAGUUGAUUUUAUUUUUGUACAAAAUUGAAAUAUUUCUUAAUUUCAAUAAUCCAUCAUAAUAGGAAACCUGCCCACAACAAUAGCUCCUACAACAACAACUAAUACAGCUCCCACAACCACUACUAUAGCUGUUACAACUGAACAAAUAACAACAGAAGUUUUGUUGACAUCAAAACGAAUAACAACAACCGAAAAUAUUAGAUCAACUGUAAACAACUUUCAUACAACAGACAACACUCCUGCAACAAUGAAUAAAGCACCUACGAGCGCUACGAGCGCUACAAGCGGAACGAGCGGUACGAGCGGAACGAGCGGUACGAGCGGAACGAGCGGCACAAGCGGAACAAGCGGAACGAGCGGGACGAGUGGUACCAGCGGAACGAGCGGGACGAGUGGUACCAGCGGAACGAGCGGUACAAGAGUGGUUGUUUAUGCAAUGAUCGGUGUUGGAGCAAUAGUUGUCCUAGUAAUUUGUGGAAUAAUAUACAUUAAGUAUUGCAG